ACGAACGUUGGCGGCGUGCUUCAUACAUGCAAGUCAACUGAAGCAGUGGUAGCAAUAUCGCUGUGGAGGUGGCGCACGGGUGAGUAACACGUAGGUAAUCUGCCUUCAGGUCUGGCAUAACUCCGGGAAACCGGGGCUAAUAGCAGAUGAUGCAGCGGCUCGACAUCGAGACAGUUGUUAAAGCUAUGGCGCCUGAAGAUGAGCCUGCGUCUGAUUAGCUAGUUGGCGGGGUAACGGCCCACCAAGGCAACGAUCAGUAGCUGGUCUGAGAGGAUGAUCAGCCACACUGGAACUGAGACACGGUCCAGACUCCUACGGGAGGCAGCAGUAAGGAAUAUUGCUCAAUGGGAGAAAUCCUGAAGCAGCAACGCCGCGUGAGGGACGAAGGGCUUUUGCUUGUAAACCUCUGUAGUGAGAGAAAAAAAUCCCAAUCUUUGGGACAUGAUGGUAUCUCAAAAGUAAGCCCCGGCUAACUACGUG
rnacentral:rRNA from 1 species